rnacentral:rRNA from 1 species
CGGAGGAUCCAAGCGUUAUCCGGAAUCAUUGGGUUUAAAGGGUCCGUAGGCGGGUUUAUAAGUCAGUGGUGAAAGCCCAUCGCUCAACGAUGGAACGGCCAUUGAUACUGUAGAUCUUGAAUUAUUAGGAAGUAACUAGAAUAUGUAGUGUAGCGGUGAAAUGCUUAGAGAUUACAUGGAAUACCAAUUGCGAAGGCAGGUUACUACUAAUGGAUUGACGCUGAUGGACGAAAGCGUGGGUAGCGAACAGGAUUAGAUACCCUGGUAGUCCACGCCGUAAACGAUGGAUACUAGCUGUUCGGAGCAAUCUGAGUGGCUAAGCGAAAGUGAUAAGUAUCCCACUGGGGAGUACGUUCGCAAGAAUG